rnacentral:rRNA from 1 species
UGCGUAGGCGGAAAAUUAAGUCAGUGAUGAAAUCCUGCAGCUUAACUGUAGAACUGUUAUUGAUACUGAUUUUCUUGAAUUCAGUUGAGGUAGGCGGAAUGUGUAAUGUAGCGGUGAAAUGCUUAGAUAUUACACAGAACACCGAUUGCGAAGGCAGCUUACUAAGCUGAUAUUGACGCUGAGGCACGAAAGCGUGGGGAGCGAACAGGAUUAGAUACCCUGGUAGUAC